rnacentral:lncRNA from 1 species
UGCAACUGUUUAAAAUUCAAAUGGUCACUUAUUUCAGCUUACAAAGCUUGUAAAAUCAUGCAUUUUAAAUUUGUAGGGAUCAAUACAUAUAUAUAUAUAUAGUUGGAAUAACAUAACAUAACAUCAAAGAUGAAAAUGAUUUCAAUUUACUGAAUUGUAUAUAUAUUGUAUGUUCUUGAAAAUACAAAAUUAAGAGCUUUGGCAAAAUUUGACUAACAACAUCACAUGAUAAAUAACAUUAUUUUUAUACAUGUUGUAAAAAGGUAUGACCAGUGCAAAUUGAAUGCAAGGUUUAAUUAUUGGAAUAUUUAUCCUGUGAAAUUUUACAUAUUGAAAACAAAGCAUUCCAUUACAGAAUUUAUUGCAUUUGUUUUAUCAGAUGUUUUUAUAGUUUUCUUAUUAUAUGUACUAAAAACUGUUUAUACUAAUGUAAACUAAAUGUUGAUCUUUAACUAUGUCAGCAACAUAAGUAUGAAUAAAAUUACAAUUUUGUAUUGCCAACUAUUCAGUCCAAUAAUCAGAGACUUUAACUC